UGCACAUCAGAUUUCCUGGUGUAACGAAUUUUUCAAUUGCUUCUUGCUAACGCAAGUUUAAUCCCGGCUUUCCUGCCGGGAUUC
rnacentral:other from 1 species